AUAAAAAAUAGAAUUUAAUUUUUAAGUUAAAAAGCUUAAAUAAAAAUAAAAGACGAGAAGACCCUAUAGAUCUUUAUAUAAAUUUUUUUAAUAUUAAUAAAGAAAAUUUUAUUUAUUAGUAAGGUUUUUAUUUUAUUGGGGUAAUAAAAAGAUUUAAAAAAUUCUUUAUAUUUAAACAUAAAUUAUUGGUUAUAUGAUCCAUUAUUAAUGAUUAAAAGAUUAAGUUACCUUAGGGAUAACAGCGUAAUUUUUUUUGAGAGUUCUUAUCAAUAAAAAAGUUUGCGACCUCGAUGUUGGAUUAAAAGUAAUCUUAGGUGCAGAAGUUUAAGAUUUUGGUCUGUUCGACCAUUAAAUUUUUACAUGAUCUGAGUUUAGACCGGCGUAAGCCAGGUUGGUUUCUAUCUUUAUUUAAUUAAUAUAUUUUAGUACGAAAGGACCAAAUAUAUAAUAUAUUUAUAUUUAUUUUUUGAAUUAUAUU
rnacentral:rRNA from 1 species